AUGAAGUAGGAUAUAUACCGUAUACGGUAUAAUUAAAUUCUUGAUGGUUAAAGCAAUUUUGUCAAUAAUACAUGUUUAACGUGGACAAGUGAAGUAGCACAUGAUAAAUUUUUGGGAAGGCUGUUUCCCUCCUUGGAGCGUUGGGGAUGAUAGAGCAUGAACACAAAAAAUAUGGACAAGCCUUAAGAAUCAAUUUCCAGAAAAGGAAGGUUUAUCUGUUGAGCAGUUUGAUUAGAUUAACUUCUACCAAUUAAAACAUAGCGUUGUUAUAUAUGGUUAUGAAUAAGUGUGAUUUUUGGACUCUUUUCUGGACUAGGAAAUUUGCAUGUACCGUCAGUUUGGGAAAUUGUUUUAGAACGCAGAGCUUAAAUAAACAAGCUUCCUGUUUCAUUGUUGUCUUGCAGCAAUAGAUGGCCAGUAUUUGUCUAACGAGACAGCUGGAAACCUAUCAACAAUGUUUGAUGUUGGAGGUGUAGUUGGGGGAAUCCUUGCAGGUCACAUAUCUGACCGUCUUAAUGCUAGAGCUAUAACAGCAGCUAGCUUUAUGUACUGUGCCAUUCCAGCUCUGUUCUUCUACCGUAGCUAUGGUCAUGAAUCACUGUAUGUAAACAUAGCUCUCAUGUUUGUAACUGGCGUGUUUGUGAAUGGGCCUUAUGCCCUCAUAACAACAGCAGUGUCAGCAGACUUGGGUACACACACUUCAUUGAAUGGGAACUCACGGGCAUUGGCAACAGUUACUGCCAUCAUAGAUGGGACAGGGUCAGUGGGGGCUGCACUUGGACCUUUGUUGACAGGAUACAUCUCUACAAAGAGUUGGAAUGCUGUGUUUACCAUGCUGAUGGGGGCUGCUCUGGUGGCAGGGCUGUUUCUAACUCGACUAGUAGUGGCAGAGGUUGCUGCAAAGAUUGGGAUAAUGAGGGAAGAAACUAAUUCCAGUUUGAGGCACCCAAGCAUCGACAAUCAAGUGUAAAUCCUUUGAAAGAUCGAAACAGAAGUUUUGCUUGUUAUACAUGUAUAUCUAUAAGCGCUUGUUUUAGAUGUAGAAUAUGAAGCAAAUGUGCUGCUUCUGCUUACAAGAUAAAAGAUGUCUUCCCUUUGUAUUAAUGUAAAUGGGGAAGACAAGUCACAGUCUUUGUCUAUAUCAACUUUAUCCUUUUAUUUCUGCAAAUUUUGUUUUGGUGAUGACUAACCUAAUCCUUACUAGGACUACCAAUAUGUGUAUCAUUUUUCAGUCCCUUGCUAAGAUUUAAACAAUUUAGAUUGCCUCAGGUGCUAGAAUGACUGCAUUGUUGGAGUCAGCUGGAAACCUAUCAACAAUGUUUGAUGUUGGAGGUGUAGUUGGGGGAAUCCUUGCAGGUCACAUAUCUGUCUGUCUUAA
rnacentral:lncRNA from 1 species